rnacentral:rRNA from 1 species
UACGGAGGGGGCUAGCGUUGUUCGGAAUUACUGGGCGUAAAGCGCACGUAGGCGGCUUUGUAAGUUAGAGGUGAAAGCCCAGGGCUUAACCCUGGAAUUGCCUUUAAGACUGCAUCGCUAGAAUCGUGGAGAGGUGAGUGGAAUUCCGAGUGUAGAGGUGAAAUGCGUAGAUAUCGGAGGGAACACCAGUGGCGAAAGCGGCUUCCUGGUCCGACACCGACGUUCAGGCACGAAAGCGUGGGGAGCAAACAGG